UACAGAGGGUGCGAGCGUUAAUCGGAAUUACUGGGCGUAAAGCGCACGUAGGUGGCGACGUAAGUCGGGUGUGAAAGCCCCGGGCUCAACCUGGGAAUUGCAUUCGAGACUGCAUUGCUGGAGUACGGGAGAGGUGGGCGGAAUUCCCGGUGUAGCGGUGAAAUGCGUAGAUAUCGGGAGGAACAUCAGUGGCGAAGGCGGCCCUCUGGUCCACUACUGACACUCAAGUGCGAAAGCGAGGGGAGCAAACAGG
rnacentral:rRNA from 1 species